UUAAGCGACUAAGCGUACACGGUGGAUGCCCUGGCAGUCAGAGGCGAUGAAGGACGUGCUAAUCUGCGAAAAGCGUCGGUAAGGUGAUAUGAACCGUUAUAACCGGCGAUGUCCGAAUGGGGAAACCCAGUGCAAUUCGUUGCACUAUCGUUAACUGAAUACAUAGGUUAACGAGGCGAACCGGGGGAACUGAAACAUCUAAGUACCCCGAGGAAAAGAAAUCAACCGAGAUUCCCCCAGUAGCGGCGAGCGAACGGGGAGCAGCCCAGAGUCUGAAUCAGCUUGUGUGUUAGUGGAACGGUCUGGAAAGUCCGACGGUACAGGGUGAUAGUCCCGUACACCAAAAUGCACAGGCUGUGAACUCGAAGAGUAGGGCGGGACACGUGGUAUCCUGUCUGAAUAUGGGGGGACCAUCCUCCAAGGCUAAAUACUCCUGACUGACCGAUAGUGAACCAGUACCGUGAGGGAAAGGCGAAAAGAACCCCGGCGAGGGGAGUGAAAAAGAACCUGAAACCGUGUACGUACAAGCAGUGGGAGCACCUUCGGGUGUGACUGCGUACCUUUUGUAUAAUGGGUCAGCGACUUAUAUUCUGUAGCAAGGUUAACCGUAUAGGGGAGCCGCAGGGAAACCGAGUCUUAACUGGGCGUUAAGUUGCAGGGUAUAGACCCGAAACCCGGUGAUCUAGCCAUGGGCAGGUUGAAGGUUGGGUAACACUAACUGGAGGACCGAACCGACUAAUGUUGAAAAAUUAGCGGAUGACUUGUGGCUGGGGGUGAAAGGCCAAUCAAACCGGGAGAUAGCUGGUUCUCCCCGAAAGCUAUUUAGGUAGCGCCUCGUGAACUCAUCUUCGGGGGUAGAGCACUGUUUCGGCUAGGGGGUCAUCCCGACUUACCAACCCGAUGCAAACUACGAAUACCGAAGAAUGUUAUCACGGGAGACACACGGCGGGUGCUAACGUCCGUCGUGAAGAGGGAAACAACCCAGACCGCCAGCUAAGGUCCCAAAGUCAUGGUUAAGUGGGAAACGAUGUGGGAAGGCACAGACAGCCAGGAUGUUGGCUUAGAAGCAGCCAUCAUUUAAAGAAAGCGUAAUAGCUCACUGGUCGAGUCGGCCUGCGCGGAAGAUGUAACGGGGCUAAACCAUGCACCGAAGCUGCGGCAGCGACACUAUGUGUUGUUGGGUAGGGGAGCGUUCUGUAAGCCUGCGAAGGUGUGCUGUGAGGCAUGCUGGAGGUAUCAGAAGUGCGAAUGCUGACAUAAGUAACGAUAAAGCGGGUGAAAAGCCCGCUCGCCGGAAGACCAAGGGUUCCUGUCCAACGUUAAUCGGGGCAGGGUGAGUCGACCCCUAAGGCGAGGCCGAAAGGCGUAGUCGAUGGGAAACAGGUUAAUAUUCCUGUACUUGGUGUUACUGCGAAGGGGGGACGGAGAAGGCUAUGUUAGCCGGGCGACGGUUGUCCCGGUUUAAGCAUGUAGGCUGGUUAUCCAGGCAAAUCCGGAUAAUCAAGGCUGAGGUGUGAUGACGAGGCACUACGGUGCUGAAGUAACAAAUGCCCUGCUUCCAGGAAAAGCCUCUAAGCAUCAGGUAACAUCAAAUCGUACCCCAAACCGACACAGGUGGUCAGGUAGAGAAUACCAAGGCGCUUGAGAGAACUCGGGUGAAGGAACUAGGCAAAAUGGUGCCGUAACUUCGGGAGAAGGCACGCUGGUGUGUAGGUGAAGUCCCUGCGGAUGGAGCUGAGACCAGUCGAAGAUACCAGCUGGCUGCAACUGUUUAUUAAAAACACAGCACUGUGCAAACACGAAAGUGGACGUAUACGGUGUGACGCCUGCCCGGUGCCGGAAGGUUAAUUGAUGGGGUUAUCCGUAAGGAGAAGCUCUUGAUCGAAGCCCCGGUAAACGGCGGCCGUAACUAUAACGGUCCUAAGGUAGCGAAAUUCCUUGUCGGGUAAGUUCCGACCUGCACGAAUGGCGUAAUGAUGGCCAGGCUGUCUCCACCCGAGACUCAGUGAAAUUGAACUCGCUGUGAAGAUGCAGUGUACCCGCGGCAAGACGGAAAGACCCCGUGAACCUUUACUAUAGCUUGACACUGAACAUUGAGCCUUGAUGUGUAGGAUAGGUGGGAGGCUUUGAAGCGUGGACGCCAGUCUGCGUGGAGCCAACCUUGAAAUACCACCCUUUAAUGUUUGAUGUUCUAACGUUGGCCCCUGACCGGGGUUGCGGACAGUGUCUGGUGGGUAGUUUGACUGGGGCGGUCUCCUCCCAAAGCGUAACGGAGGAGCACGAAGGUUAGCUAAUCCUGGUCGGACAUCAGGAGGUUAGUGCAAUGGCAUAAGCUAGCUUGACUGCGAGCGUGACGGCGCGAGCAGGUGCGAAAGCAGGUCAUAGUGAUCCGGUGGUUCUGAAUGGAAGGGCCAUCGCUCAACGGAUAAAAGGUACUCCGGGGAUAACAGGCUGAUACCGCCCAAGAGUUCAUAUCGACGGCGGUGUUUGGCACCUCGAUGUCGGCUCAUCACAUCCUGGGGCUGAAGUAGGUCCCAAGGGUAUGGCUGUUCGCCAUUUAAAGUGGUACGCGAGCUGGGUUUAGAACGUCGUGAGACAGUUCGGUCCCUAUCUGCCGUGGGCGCUGGAGAAUUGAGGGGGGCUGCUCCUAGUACGAGAGGACCGGAGUGGACGCAUCACUGGUGUUCGGGUUGUCAUGCCAAUGGCACUGCCCGGUAGCUAAAUGCGGAAGAGAUAAGUGCUGAAAGCAUCUAAGCACGAAACUUGCCCCGAGAUGAGUUCUCCCUGAGACUUUAAGUCUCCUGAAGGAACGUUAAAGACGAUGACGUUGAUAGGCCGGGUGUGUAAGCGCAGCGAUGCGUUGAGCUAACCGGUACUAAUGAACCGUGAGGCUUAACCU
rnacentral:rRNA from 2 species